UUGAAAACAUUUCAAUGGGAAGCUUUUCAAUAAGGCGUCAUUAGAAAACUCUUAAUCUGCUGCCAAGUAUUAAAUUUAUAGAAUAAAGAAUUAUAGUUUUUUUUUAUGAAGAUAAAAAAUAAAUAUGGUGAGAAUAGAUGCUCUUCAAUGAUGUCUCACUAAGAAGCUUUUUACUGUUUUAUUUAUUUAUUUAAAAUAAACUUAGCUAAAAAUAUAAAUUAAUUAGAAUUUGAAUUUGAAAUAUCGAAUGCUAAUUAUUAAGU
rnacentral:lncRNA from 1 species